ACUCCUACGGGAGGCAGCAGUGGGGAAUAUUGCACAAUGGGGGGAAACCCCUGAUGCAGCCAUGCCGCGCUGUGUGAAGAAGGCCAAUUCGGGCUUUGGUUAAAGACACUUUCAGUAGGGAGGAAGGUAGUGUAGUUAACACCUGCAUUAUUUGACGUUACCUACAGAAGAAGCACCGGCUAACUCCGUGCCAGCAGCCGCGGUAAUACGGAGGGUGCGAGCGUUAAUCGGAAUUACUGGGCGUAAAGCGCAUGCAGGCGGCCUGUUAAGUCAGAUGUGAAAGCCCGGGGCUUAACCUCGGAAUUGCAUUUGAAACUGGCAGGCUAGAGUCUUGUAGAGGGGGGUAGAAUUUCAGGUGUAGCGGUGAAAUGCGUAGAGAUCUGAAGGAAUACCAGUGGCGAAGGCGGCCCCCUGGACAAAGACUGACGCUCAGAUGCGAAAGCGUGGGGAGCAAACAGGAUUAGAUACCCUGGUAGGAUAG
rnacentral:rRNA from 1 species